AAUAAACGCUGGCGGCGUGCCUAACACAUGCAAGUCGAACGUGAAAGUUGGCUUCGGCCGAUGAGUAAAGUGGCGCACGGGUGAGUAACGCGUGGAUAAUCUACCCUUCAGUUGGGAAUAACUCAUCGAAAGGUGAGCUAAUACCGAAUAAUACUGCUUGACCAUGGUCAGGUAGUCAAAGAUAGCCUCUGCUUGCAAGCUUUCGCUGAAAGAUGAGUCCGCGUACCAUUAGCUAGUUGGUGGGGUAAUGGCCUACCAAGGCGACGAUGGUUAGCUGGUCUGAGAGGAUGAUCAGCCACACUGGAACUGAGACACGGUCCAGACUCCUACGGGAGGCAGCAGUGAGGAAUCUUGCGCAAUGGGGGAAACCCUGACGCAGCAACGCCGCGUGAGUGAGGAAGGUCUUCGGAUCGUAAAGCUCUGUCGGGUGGAAAGAAAUGUAUGGGGUUAAUAGCCUUCAUACUUGACGGUACCACCAAAGGAAGCACCGGCUAACUCCGUGCCAGCCGCCGCGGUAAUAC
rnacentral:rRNA from 1 species